rnacentral:rRNA from 1 species
AAAAGGCUUAGUGGCGGACGGGUGAGUAACGCGUGGGUAACCUGGCCCAUACAGGGGGAUAACACUUAGAAAUAGGUGCUAAUACCGCAUAACAACAGAAAGCGCAUGCUUUUUGUUUGAAAACCAAGGUGGUAUGGGAUGGACCCGCGUCUGAUUAGCUGGUUGGCGGGGUAAGGGCCCACCAAGGCGACGAUCAGUAGCCGGCCUGAGAGGGUGGACGGCCACAUUGGGACUGAGACACGGCCCAAACUCCUACGGAAGGCAGCAG